UGGCACACAGGCGACAUGACCUCCACCAA
rnacentral:piRNA from 1 species